rnacentral:rRNA from 1 species
UACGGGGGGAGCAAGCGUUGUUCGGAUUCAUUGGGCGUAAAGGGCGCGUAGGCGGCUUGGCAAGUCCGUCAUGAAAUGUACCGGUUCAACCGGGGCACUGUGUCGGAAACUGCCUGGCUUGAGGUCGAGGGAGGAGAGUGGAAUUCCUGGUGUAGCGGUGAAGUGCGUAGAUAUCCGGAGGAACACCGGUGGCGAAGGCGGCUUCCUGGACCGACACUGACGCUGAGGCGCGAAAGCUAGGGGAGCAAACGGG